rnacentral:misc_RNA from 1 species
AACGCAUAUUGCGCUCUCUGGUCCUCCAGGGAGCAUGCCUGUUUGAGCAUCAGUAAACACCCUCAUCCACCCUUUGGGGUUGUGUAUGGAAAUGAGUAUUCCGGGAGGGGAGGGUAGAUAGAGAGGUUGUGGUAGGGAAGAGGAGGAUAUCUCCUCCCCCUAACGCAUUCCUUCUUCUAGCCCUUCUUCACACACCCCGGUUACUUGAAAUGAAGCGUGUGCUGUGCUUGUCACUGCUCUAUGGCAAGGCGUAUCUGUUCUCUUUGGAGAUCCACUUUGCGCCAGUGUAUGUCUAGAGCCUCGUGCUGACUAACAGCCGCGAUCCCUUUGUUCGUACGCGCAUUCGUGUGUGUGCUAACUAUUCGAGGCGCUGCGCAGUCGCGUUGCAGCCUCCUAACUCUUGAUCUCAAAUCAGGCAAGACUACCCGCUGAAUUUAA